AGGACGAACGCUGGCGGCGUGCUUAACACAUGCAAGUGGAGCGACGAACCAGGGCUUGCCCUGGGGCAGAGCCGCGAACGGGUGAGUAACACGUGGGUUACCUGCCUCGAUGACUGGGACAACCCGGGGAAACUCGGGCUAAUACCGGAUGUGCCCGCAAGGGGAAAGGAAGCUUCGGCCUCCGCAUCGAGAUGGGCCCGCGGCCCAUUAGCUUGUUGGUGAGGUAACGGCUCACCAAGGCUUCGAUGGGUAGCUGGUCUGAGAGGACGAUCAGCCACACUGGGACUGAGACACGGCCCAGACUCCUACGGGAGGCAGCAGUGGGGAAUCUUGCGCAAUGCGCGAAAGCGUGACGCAGCAACGCCGCGUGGGGGAAGAAGGCUUUCGGGUUGUAAACCCCCUUUCAGUUGGGACGAAGCUUCGCCGGUGAAUAGCCGGCCGGAGUGACGGUACCUUCACAAGAGCACCGGCUAACUACGUGCCAGCAGCCGC
rnacentral:rRNA from 1 species